UACGUAGGGUGCAAGCGUUGUCCGGAAUUAUUGGGCGUAAAGAGCUCGUAGGCGGUUUGUCGCGUCUGCUGUGAAAACUGGGGGCUCAACCCCCAGCCUGCAGUGGGUACGGGCAGACUAGAGUGCGGUAGGGGAGACUGGAAUUCCUGGUGUAGCGGUGGAAUGCGCAGAUAUCAGGAGGAACACCGAUGGCGAAGGCAGGUCUCUGGGCCGCAACUGACGCUGGAGGAGCGAAAGCAUGGGGAGCGAACGGG
rnacentral:rRNA from 1 species